rnacentral:ncRNA from 1 species
AAGAAUAGCAUGCAGCUAGGUGCCUUUGCGAGAGCAAGGGGUAACAGGGAAUCGGGUGAAAAUCCCGAGCGGUCCCGCCACUGUAAUUGGUGAGUUCUCUUUCCAACAUGUCACUCGGUAUGGAGCAUGUCCAUCGGGGAAGACGAAAGAGCGCGAUGAGCCAAAAGCCAGGAGACCUACCUAGUUUGUCACACCCGU